UCUGGCGUGGGGGACAACGUUUCGAAAGGAACGCUAAUACCGCAUACGUCCUACGGGAGAAAGCAGGGGACCUUCGGGCCUUGCGCUAUCAGAUGAGCCUAGGUCGGAUUAGCUAGUUGGUGAGGUAAUGGCUCACCAAGGCGACGAUCCGUAACUGGUCUGAGAGGAUGAUCAGUCACACUGGAACUGAGACACGGUCCAGACUCCUACGGGAGGCAGCAGUGGGGAAUAUUGGACAAUGGGCGAAAGCCUGAUCCAGCCAUGCCGCGUGUGUGAAGAAGGUCUUCGGAUUGUAAAGCACUUUAAGUUGGGAGGAAGGGUUGUAGAUUAAUACUCUGCAAUUUUGACGUUACCGACAGAAUAAGCACCGGCUAACUCUGUGCCAGCAGCCGCGGUAAUACAGAGGGUGCAAGCGUUAAUCGGAAUUACUGGGCGUAAAGCGCGCGUAGGUGGUUCGUUAAGUUGGAUGUGAAAGCCCCGGGCUCAACCUGGGAACUGCAUUCAAAACUGACGAGCUAGAGUAUGGUAGAGGGUGGUGGAAUUUCCUGUGUAGCGGUGAAAUGCGUAGAUAUAGGGAAGGAACACCAGUGGCGAAAGCGAC
rnacentral:rRNA from 1 species